GCCCUUUUGGCUCAGUGGAUAGAGCAUCAGCCUGCAGACUGAGGUUCCAGGGUUCAAUUCCAGUCAAGGGCA
rnacentral:tRNA from 1 species